UCUUGAUACCUGACCCAUGGACUCUAGCUGUUGUAAACACAGUACUGUAUAUUGUUUUUUGAUUCAAUGCAUAUUUCAUGUUCUGGAAGAUAGGAAGCAAGGAGGAGCUGCCCUUUCAUAAUGCAUCAACAUUAUUGACUGGCCUGUGAUUCCAUACUUGGAGUUAAGGCUGUCCUUGGGAAGUUUAAAAUGUGCUUGAGAUGUUGAAACCAGUUCCAUUUUAAAAGGAUAACUUCUUAUACAGAUGCCUCAAUGCAGCUGGUCCUUUGGAAAAAAAGUAUUUAUAAGAAAGCAAUAUGAAUUGUACUCAAGAAAGGGAAUCUGAGUUGGAAGCAAGAGACUACCAAGUUCGUAUUUUCAGAUUGGAUGGGCAAGACUAGGAUAUAUAAGAGAGAAAGAGGAAAGUGUCCAUCUGGAAAAGUAUCACAUCCUGUCUCAUGGAGUUGCCUCAGUGAGAAGUAUGAUGUAAUGACUGAGAUCACUGGCUUUGAAGGCAG